AUUGCUUCUCAGCCUUCUGGCUAAGAUCAAGUGUAGUAUCUGUUCUUAUCAGUUUAAUAUUUGAUACGUCCUCUAUCCAAGGACGAUAUAUUAAAUGGAUUUUUGGAAAUAGGAGCUUGCUCCGUCCACUCCACGCAUCGACCUGGUAUUGCAAUACUUCCAGGAACGGUGCACAAAAA
ensembl:snRNA U2 U2 spliceosomal RNA